rfam:Felis catus isolate Cinnamon breed Abyssinian chromosome A3, whole genome shotgun sequence.
ACCUGGGUGGCUCAGUUGGUUAAGCGUCUGACUUCGGCUCAGGUCAUGAUCUCAUGGUUCGUGGGUUUGAGCCCCUCAUCAGGCU